GGGGAAUAUCCACUCUCUCCACCCACUCACUUUUCCCACAGUUAUAACCUGGGACACUGCAUUAUAUGGAUUUAUUGGACAGAAGAACCUCCAGAGGCUGUGAGCUUACAGAUACACUCACUGGCAAAAUGCUUCUGUUGUUUCUGUGUCUGGUUUUGGGAACUUCACAAGGACAAGGGGUUAAUGUAACGUGUGACAAUGCAUCGCUUUCAAAAGACCAGCAAUUGACACUGUGCUGUACACUGGAUUACACUGCCAUACAAACUCUCAACCAUGGGACAAAUGACACAACAUGUGUUACUGAGUGGUAUGUAUGGAAGUGUUCAGAUAUUGUAAAACUGAAUUGUACUGAAGACUGUCACAUGGAAGAAACGGAAGCACCGUCACGAAAAUGCUAUUAUACGAAAGGAAUUGUUACAAAAGCUGAUGAGGGUAAAUACACUUUUUCCAUUGGCACAAACUGUGGGACUGGUUCAGGGACAACAAGCUUUUUCAAUGUUCCAGUUACUGUGAAAAGUGUUGACAACGGGAGAGACCAACAAGAUGGGAGAGACCAACAAGCUCCUGUAUGGUUAGCCCUGGUUGUUAUCAUCAGCGUCAUCGCUGUUCUGGGCGUUCUAUUGUUUCUCAAAACUUCCCGUUCUGGCAGAGGAUUGAUGGAACGACUCAAGAGUUCUAUGACCCAGAGCAACAACAACCCUGAAGUUUCAAGAGAGGCACUUAACAUGGUGUCUGCAUAACAUUCAGCGUGAGCCAGUUGGCUUGUUGGUUCUUUCGAAAUGAACUCAACGUUGACCUCUGCUAUGUUGCUGUAUGUCAGACGCAUUCUAUACCAAUAAGACACUACUCACUUUUGCACCUAAAUUAGUUUUGCACCAACAUUUGUGGAAUCAGUUAGUGAAAUCACUAAUAAUCGUCUUUCACAGAAAAAAAGGGUGCUAUCUAGAACCUAACAGAGUUCCCUCAUCAUCCCCAUAGGAGAACCCUUUGAAUAAAUCUGGUUCCAGGUAGAACCCUUUUCAUAACAUAUGUUUGUUAGUAAAUGGAGUUGGUUUUGGUCUCUAUAUACUGUACAUUGAUGUGUUGUAAUAUUCUGUAAUAUUCUGCUCAAUUCACAAGCAUUGUUUUCAUAACUACUAAGCUAAGCUUGUUUUUAGUUUUAGCCCUAACUCUGACAUAAUAUUCUGGGAUUCAUGUUUUUAUUUAUGAAUAUAAAAUGUUAUUGAUUUGUGUACAAAUAAACUUUUGG